rnacentral:rRNA from 1 species
UACGUAGGGGGCAAGCGUUGUCCGGAAUUAUUGGGCGUAAAGCGCGCGCAGGCGGUGCGUUAAGUCGGAUGUGAAAGGCUACGGCUCAACCGUAGAGCUGCAUCCGAAACUGGCGGACUUGAGUGCAGGAGAGGGGAGUGGAAUUCCCGGUGUAGCGGUGAAAUGCGUAGAGAUCGGGAGGAACACCAGUGGCGAAGGCGGCUCCCUGGCCUGUAACUGACGCUGAGGCGCGAAAGCGUGGGGAGCAAACAGG